UACGUAGGGUGCAAGCGUUGUCCGGAAUUAUUGGGCGUAAAGAGCUCGUAGGCGGUCUGUCGCGUCGGAUGUGAAAACCCAGGGCUCAACCCUGGGACCUGCAUUCGAUACGGGCAGACUAGAGUUCGGUAGGGGAGACUGGAAUUCCUGGUGUAGCGGUGAAAUGCGCAGAUAUCAGGAGGAACACCGGUGGCGAAGGCGGGUCUCUGGGCCGAAACUGACGCUGAGGAGCGAAAGCGUGGGGAGCAAACAGG
rnacentral:rRNA from 1 species